CACAACUAUAUCCGUGUAGUGAUCAAGAAGAAAAAAGAGGACGAAAAACAGCUGUACCAGCGAUAGCGGUGAGAGGGAAAUAUAUUGUAAGUAGAAGGUAGAGGAAUUAAGUUUUGAUGAGAGGCGAGUAGGUAAGUUAGAUUGUAUGAGACAGACUGUGGAAAAGAAGCUCAAAAAAAAAAAAAA
rnacentral:lncRNA from 1 species